UACGUAGGGACCAAGCGUUGUUCGGAUUUACUGGGCGUAAAGGGCGCGUAGGCGGCAAUUCAAGUCAGUUGUGAAAUCUCCGAGCUUAACUCGGAACGGUCAACUGAUACUGUUUGCUAGAGUAUAGAAGGGGCAAUCGGAAUUCUUGGUGUAGCGGUGAAAUGCGUAGAUAUCAAGAGGAACACCUGAGGUGAAGACGGGUUGCUGGGCUGAUACUGACGCUGGAGGCGCGAAAGCUAGGGUAGCAAACGGG
rnacentral:rRNA from 1 species